rnacentral:rRNA from 1 species
GACGAACGCUGGCGGCGUGCUUAACACAUGCAAGUCGAACGGAAAGGCCCUGCUUUUGUGGGGUUCUCGAGUGGCGAGCGGGUGAGUAACACGUGAGUAACCUGCCCUUGUCUUUGGGAUAACUUCAGGAAACUGCGGCUAAUACCGGAUAGGAUCUCCUGCUGCGUGGUGGGGGUUGGAAAGUGUCGGCGGUUGGGGAUGGACUAGAGGCUUAUCAGCUUGUUGGUGUGGUAGUGGCUUACCAAGGCUUUGACGGGUAGCCGGCCUGAGAGCGGGGCCGGCCACCAUGGGACUGCGAGACGCACCAGAAGGGUAUGUGCGGCAGUAGUGGGGAGUCUGGCGGAAUGGGCGGAAGUGUGAUGCAGCAACGCUCGGUUCGUGAUAACGGCUUAUGGGUGGUAAACCGAUUUGGAAGGUGCCGAGGCGUGCGUGACGGUAACGGGUAAAGAAGCAACGGCUAACUACGUG